rnacentral:rRNA from 1 species
UACGGAGGGUGCAAGCGUUGUCCGGAAUUACUGGGCGUAAAGAGCUCGUAGGUGGUUUGUCGCGUUGUCCGUGAAAACUCACAGCUUAACUGUGGGCGUGCGGGCGAUACGGGCAGACUGGAGUACUGCAGGGGAGACUGGAAUUCCUGGUGUAGCGGUGGAAUGCGCAGAUAUCAGGAGGAACACCGGUGGCGAAGGCGGGUCUCUGGGCAGUAACUGACGCUGAGGAGCGAAAGCGUGGGGAGCGAACAGG